UACGGAGGAUGCAAGCGUUAUCCGGAAUGAUUGGGCGUAAAGCGUCCGCAGGUGGCUGUGUAAGUCUGCUGUUAAAGAGUCUAGCUCAACUAGAUAAAAGCAGUGGAAACUACACGGCUAGAGUACGUUCGGGGCAGAGGGAAUUCCUGGUGUAGCGGUGAAAUGCGUAGAUAUCGGGAGGAACACCAGUGGCGAAGGCGACUUCCUGGCCUGUUCUUGACGCUGAGGCGCGAAAGCUAGGGGAGCAAACGGG
rnacentral:rRNA from 1 species